rnacentral:lncRNA from 1 species
UGACACUAUUCUUCAGCACCUUAUUUCUCCAGUUCCAUUUUAUUAGCAGUGUUUCUCUGUAUCUUGCUGGAAGCAUCUGCUCUUUCAUCAUCUAGUGUUUAUUUUACCUGAAAGGGGAAAACAUGGUACAUCCUCCUCUCCUGUAACCACUAUCAUGAUGUCUCACAAAUGGUGAUACCGUUAGUUUCUUUAGGGUUAUUUUCUUUAUGAUCCACUCUUUUCCCCCGAGGAUGGAGGAAGAAAGAAGAAGGAAAAAAGAUGGCAGUGAAUGGCAACUGAGAAGAAAUGAGCAUUGGAGAGAGGGAAAGAGUGGAAGAACAUAGUCUAUAAUCUUGUUUGAUGAGAUCAUCUUGAUGUAAGAAAACAUAGAUAAUAUGUCACUUAGGAGAGCCAAAGAUGACCUGGACUCGACAGCAAAAUCUCCAUCCAUUAAAGAAAC